rnacentral:rRNA from 1 species
GCGUAGCGUACGUAGGUGGAUAAUAAAAAAUAAAGUAAAAGACUGAGGAAGGCCCUCUUUAAUCUUUAUUUACUUCUUAUCUUGAGUUCUGGAGACGGUUUAUUGAACUUCUUACGUAAGGGUUAAAUUGUUGAUAAUGAAGGACAUUCGAAGGCGAAAGCAGUCACCGAUCCAGAUCUGACGCUAGGUACUAAAGCAUGGGUAUGAAACGGAUUAGAGACCGUGUAGUCCAUGCCCUAAACUAUGAGUGUUAAACAUCUUUAGUUUUCUGUCAAAGGCCGACGGCGCUUACGGCGUAGUUUAAUGGGAAACUUUGACUGAGAUCUAUGGGGAUUUUAAGCUAACGCGUAAAACACCGCCUGAGGAAUGUGGCCGCAAGGUUAAACUCAAAGGAAUUGACGGAGACUUAUACAAGG